rnacentral:lncRNA from 1 species
GUUAUAUUACUGGGUUAUUGAACCAAAUCUAGAGGAUAUUGAGGAGAAAAUGAUCCUUCUCAUUAGUAGUAAUGUCUUGUGUAAAAUGUCAUCCCUCUAAGAAAAAAAAGCUUGAGACAGGAAUUGAUAUUUUCACAGGGACAAUAUUGACAAGUCUUUGCAGAUUAACUAUGUCAUUUGGUUUCUGGUGGAGAGUUGCCUCAUUAGCAAUCAUAACACAUCUUUUAUUUGAAUGACAAAGAUUUCAAAUUACAAAUGCUGUCUCAUUGACUUACCAAACAUCUUCUUUUAAUUAUUAUGACCAGGGAAUAAUGUAUUGUUAUGUCUUGUUAUAUUUUGCAGGGGAACGUUGCAAUAUACAAAUAGCAGUAUUGAUUUAUAGUACAAAAAAACUUCUUAAUAAUGCAUCAUAAAAGUAUGUUUGAUAACAUCAGCAUUUCAAAUUUGUAUCAGAAGUACAGAAUUUCUAAUUUUUCAUUUUUUUCAAAAAUAAUGUUUUGAAUACAAACUCACAUAGAAUGCCCACAAAAAUUUU